CUGGCGGCGUGCCUAAUACAUGCAUGUCGAACGGUCUUUCUAUGGAAGCUUGCUUCCACUGAGAAGAUAGUGGCGAACGGGUGAGUAACACGUGGGGUAACCUGCCCAUAAGAGGGGGAUAACAUCCGGAAACGGGUGCUAAUACCGCAUAGUUUUCUUGAUCGCAUGAUUGAGAAAGGAAAGACGGCCUUUGUGCUGUCGCUUAUGGAUGGACCCGCGGCGUAUUAGUUAGUUGGUGAGGUAACGGCUCACCAAGACGAUGAUACGUAGCCGACCUGAGAGGGUGAUCGGCCACAUUGGGACUGAGACACGGCCCAAACUCCUACGGGAGGCAGCAGUAGGGAAUCUUCCGCAAUGGACGAAAGUCUGACGGAGCAACGCCGCGUGAGUGAAAGAAGGUUUUCGGAUCGUAAAACUCUGUUGUCAGAGAAGAACAAGUUGGAGAGUAACUGCUCCAGCCUUGACGGUAUCUGACCAGAAAGCCACGGCUAACUACGUGCCAGCCGCCGC
rnacentral:rRNA from 1 species